GUGCUCACUUCAGCAUCACAUAUACUAAAGUUGGAAUGAUACAGAAAUUAAUACAGCCCCUGCUCAAGAAUGGCAUGCACAUUUGUGCAGAUUUUUAUAUUUUU
ensembl:snRNA U6 U6 spliceosomal RNA